GCUGGCGCGCCACUGGCUGUCGGGGACAGAGAGCAGGAGACACGGCUGUCACCACGGAGCCCGCCGGUACCACCACGGCGGCCGCCGCCGCUUCUCGGGCCGGGGGCGCUGGGGACCAGGCGCCCUCGCUGCCUCCGCCCCCGCCGAGGAUGCCGCGCAGGAAGAGGAACGCCGGCAGUAGUUCAGAUGGCACUGAAGACUCCGAUUUCUCUACUGAUCCUGAGCAUACAGACAGCUCUGAAAGCGAUGGCACAUCUCGGCGAUCUGCCCGUGUGACUCGUUCCUCAGCCAGGCUGAGUCAGAGCUCGCAAGAUUCCAGCCCUGUUCGGAAUCCACCAUCAUUUGGGACAGAGGAGCCUGUAUAUUCUACCAGGAGGGUGACACGCAGCCAACAACAGCCCACUCCCGUGACUCCAAAAAAAUACCCACUCCGACAAACUCGCUCUUCUGGAUCAGAAACUGAACAAGUGGUGGACUUUUCUGAUAGAGACACUAAAAAUGCGGCAGAUCACGAUGAAUCUCCCCCUCGCACCCCAACUGGGAAUGCCCCUUCUUCAGAGUCAGACAUCGAUAUUUCCAGUCCCAAUGUGUCCCAUGAUGAGAGCAUUGCCAAGGAUAUGUCCAUGAAGGAUUCUGGAAGUGACCUUUCUCACCGCCCCAAACGCCGCCGCUUUCAUGAAAGCUACAACUUCAACAUGAAGUGUCCUACUCCUGGCUGUAACUCUCUAGGACACCUGACAGGGAAGCAUGAGAGACACUUUUCCAUAUCAGGGUGCCCACUGUAUCAUAAUCUCUCUGCAGAUGAGUGCAAGGUGAGAGCGCAGAGUCGGGAUAAACAGAUUGAAGAGAGGAUGCUGGCUCACAGACAGGAUGACAACAAUAGGCAUGCCACCAGACACCAGGCACCAACAGAGAGACAGCUACGAUACAAAGAGAAAGUAGCAGAGCUGAGGAAGAAAAGGAAUUCUGGACUGAGCAAGGAGCAGAAAGAGAAGUACAUGGAACACAGGCAAACAUAUGGCAACACCAGGGAACCCCUGUUGGAAAACUUGACCAGUGAAUAUGACCUAGAGCUUUUCCGAAGAGCACAAGCACGAGCCUCUGAGGACCUGGAAAAGUUGCGGCUUCAAGGCCAGAUCACAGAAGGCAGUAAUAUGAUUAAAACAAUCGCCUUUGGCCGCUAUGAGUUGGAUACCUGGUACCAUUCUCCCUAUCCAGAGGAGUAUGCUCGACUGGGACGUCUCUACAUGUGUGAGUUCUGUCUCAAGUACAUGAAGAGCCAGACAAUACUACGUAGGCACAUGGCAAAAUGUGUGUGGAAACAUCCGCCAGGUGAUGAAAUUUAUCGCAAAGGCUCCAUAUCAGUUUUUGAAGUAGAUGGGAAAAAGAACAAGAUCUACUGCCAAAACCUGUGUCUGCUGGCAAAGCUUUUCUUGGACCACAAAACUCUCUACUAUGACGUUGAACCCUUUCUCUUCUAUGUCAUGACAGAAGCUGACAACACUGGCUGUCACCUGAUAGGGUAUUUCUCCAAGGAGAAGAAUUCUUUCCUCAACUACAAUGUAUCUUGCAUCCUGACGAUGCCUCAGUACAUGAGGCAGGGUUAUGGCAAAAUGCUCAUUGACUUUAGCUAUUUGCUGUCCAAAGUGGAAGAGAAAGUUGGCUCCCCAGAGCGCCCUCUGUCUGACUUGGGCCUUAUCAGCUACCGUAGUUACUGGAAGGAAGUUCUUCUUCGUUACCUGCAUAACUUCCAAGGCAAAGAGAUCUCAAUUAAAGAUUGUGUUACUGUCUUGCAGAAAUCAGCCAGGAAACAGCAGUGAACCCUGUUGACAUUGUUAGCACUCUGCAGGCACUUCAGAUGCUCAAGUACUGGAAGGGAAAACACCUGGUCUUAAAGAGACAGGAUCUGAUUGAUGAAUGGAUAGCCAAAGAGGCAAAAAGAUCGAACAGCAAUAAGAUAAUGGAUCCCAGCUGUUUGAAAUGGACCCCUCCUAAGGGAACUUAACUACCUGCUACUCCCGAAGCCAGUGAACCCCAGCAGUAGGAAAUACCCUAGGGAUCUCUGUUGUAUCUGUUGCUGUUGUGAUUGGCUGGUACAGUAUCCUCCAGGAAGAUCAGUUCCCCUUGGUACUGUUCUGGCCCAGACCUUUUGUGCACACCGCAGACGCUGGUUCUGAGGAACUUAUGUUUCGGCCUCAAUGAGGUUGCAAGGAUUGGAUCUGUAUAGGACCCAAAUGAAGCUACUAGCAAAACUGGCCCAAGGAGUUCUGAUAUCUGGUACUGUACCUGUCCAGUCACUGGUUCUACCCUCACGUUCUUAUUCCAAUGAGGUUGUGUUGUGUCCUAUAAUCUGUCUCUUCCUUCCUGAAGGCUCCUUGCCCUCUGAGUAAUGAACGUGACCAUUUCUGUGGCCUUUGAACAAGGUCUAAUGCUUGAUUGGGAAAAAUGUGUAAGUGCAUCCAGACAGGUUUACCAACACGUUGCCAUUGCACUCAUGUUAGCAUUUUAAACUAGACCUGACUGAUAGACUGCCCAGUCCCAGGUAUCAGUUAUUUUCAAGGAGAUAGUAAGCCACUUAUUUAAGCAGUGCUUCCCACUUAAUGUAGCAGUCUUAAUUAAAAUAACAAAUUGUAAAUGGUGCUGUACAUUCUGAAGCUUUCACAAUUUCCAUCUGUUACCAUUAAUGUUAUUAUCCAGGAGUCAAGAUUAAUAGUGCAAGGCACCAGGAUUUGAUAUGCUUUCACAAAAUAGUCCUCAGUGAGCUCCCCUCAGGUUAGCACAGUACCAUGUCAAUUACCCAGUCUUCCUAAGUCAGGUAUCUGUUUAGCCUCUUCUGGAGCUGAUGGUUUCCUUUACACACAAAAAAUUACCAGUUUAGUGCAUUUCAAUGUAGACAUUCUCCCCAAAAGGGUUUUUCCUUGAAUUGUAGCUUUUCUUUUUGAAAUCUUUUCUUUCCAUAUACUAAGAUAAUAAAAUGUUAAUUUUAGAAUGAUUUUUGUUAACCUUGUCCAAACUGCCACAGAAAGUCUACAAUGCAGUAUCAUCAGUUCUUGGAUUGCCUAUGGCAUACAUUCUGUGCAUUAAUGGCAGCUCCAGCUAGCUGUGUGGAUGGUUUGCUUCUCUGAAGUGCACCCUGUUUGUCUUUGUAGAACAAAAAAGCUUUUUUAUCCCCCUGUUCCCUCACCAUCGUCACCAAAAGAAAACAAACCCUCCUGCAAACUGGCUUUCAAGUAUAACCACUGUCCUCUAGCCACAAGUCUUCUGUCUGUCUCCAAUAUGAUUAAUAGGGAGGGGACAGGCUUGGGGUGAGUGGUGGCAGCAUAAUAUGGUGCCCAUUUCAUUUAGACCCUUUCAGUGAUUUUUUUUUUUUUUUUUUUUUUCUUUCAUUGAGUAGUGUCUGAACUAAAGCAUUUACAAUGUACUGGUAGUUAGGGGCUAUUUCUUAUUAACCACUGAUCCUUCCCAGUGUGGAGAAGUUCUCUGGUCCCUCUCGUGGUUGGCUGUGCCUCUUUUUGUCCCCUUAAAAAUGUUAUCUCAGUACAAUGUAUUUGUGUCUCUUUGGGCAUUACUGAGGAUUGUUGUCGCAUGUCCUUGGCUCCUAUAUUGUAGCUGAAGACAAAUGCUCUUGAAACUAUCUGGCUGGGUGGAUUUUUUUGUGGGGGUAGGGAAGAAGGCUGUUCUUGAAAAGAAGCUAAACCCAAUUCCCCUGAUGUGGUAGAAUGUGCUACUCCUGUAUAUCUACUUCUCAAUAAAGCAUGUUCUCUGCUCA